UACGAACGCUGGCGGCGUGCCUAACACAUGCAAGUCGAACGGGAAAGGGGCUUCGGCCCUGAGUAAAGUGGCGCACGGGUGAGUAACACGUAGGUAACCUGCCUCUAAGAUCGGGAUAACCCGUCGAAAGACGAGCUAAUACCGGAUAAGACCACAGCUUCUUCGGAAGCAGGGGUCAAAGAUGGCCUCUACUUGUAAGCUAUCACUUAGAGAUGGGCCUGCGCACCAUUAGCUAGUUGGUAGGGUAACGGCCUACCAAGGCAAAGAUGGUUAGCUGGUCUGAGAGGAUGAUCAGCCACACUGGAACUGAGACACGGUCCAGACUCCUACGGGAGGCAGCAGUGGGGAAUAUUGCGCAAUGGGCGAAAGCCUGACGCAGCAACGCCGCGUGAGUGAUGAAGGCCUUCGGGUCGUAAAGCUCUGUCGGAGGGAACGAACGUUUCGGAGUUAACAGCCCCGGGAAGUGACGGUACCCUCAAAGGAAGCACCGGCUAACUCUGUGCCAGCACG
rnacentral:rRNA from 1 species